rnacentral:rRNA from 1 species
GGGUCAGUAGGUUGGUCGUGCCACCGGUACGUACUGGUCUCACUGAUUCCUCCCUCCUGAAGAACCGUAAUGCCAUUAAUUUGGUGUUGCGGGGAAACAGGACUGUUACUUUGAAAAAAUUAGAGUGUUUAAAGCAAGCUAACGCUUGAAUACGUUAGCAUGGAAUAAUGAAAUAGGACGAUCGAUCCUAUUUUGUUGGUUUCUAGGAUUGACGUA